rnacentral:misc_RNA from 1 species
CAAAAAUCAUACCCUGAGCUUAGAAACCCCAAAGUGCAUUUGUUUUUCCCCUAAAUUUAGCGGAUCUGCUGCUAAAUUUAGAGGGACAGGAAUUAAUUGGGGUUUUUCUGUGAGAGAAGUUGCAUAGACCAGUGAAUCUCUCAAGUUUUUCAAGAUGAUGAUCUCUAGGGGAUUGUUUGGAUGGUCCCCACCGCAUAUACAGCCGUUAACGCCCGUUUCUGAGGUCUCUGAGCCACCG